AUUGAACGCUAGCGGGAUGCUUUACACAUGCAAGUCGAACGAGUGGCGGACGGGUGAGUGAUUUAUCGGAACGUGCCCAGUCGAGGGGGAUAACUACUCGAAAGAGUGGCUAAUACCGCAUACUAUUGGAGCGGCUGAUAUCGGUUUAGCUAGUUGGUGGGGUAAAGGCUCACCAAGGCAACGAUCCGUAGCUGGUUUGAGAGGAUGACCAGCCACACUGGGACUGAGACACGGCCCAGACUCCUACGGGAGGCAGCAGUGGGGAAUUUUGGACAAUGGGGGAAACCCUGAUCCAGCCAUCCCGCGUGUAUGAGAAGGCCUUCGGGUUGUAAAGUACUUUUGGCAGAGAAGCGGUAUCUGCAGAAUAAGCACCGGCUAACUACGUGCCAGCAGCCGCGGUAAUUC
rnacentral:rRNA from 1 species